rnacentral:lncRNA from 1 species
AUUUACGGCAUGCUUUUAGUGCACGCCAUGUAUGUAAAAAAAUGAAAUUUACGAAGCCCGCCAAUCUUUUACACAAACGGUCCAAAUAGUUAAGCUUAAAUACCUCAAAAUUGAAAAGAGCACGAACAGCAGAGUUCAUCCCGUGACGACAGAGAAAUCACUCAAAAUCUGCCGGUCACUGUGAGUUACCGAUGCCAUUGGAAGUAUUUGAUUUCAGUUUAUUUCUUUUACUCGCCACUGCUCGGAUCUCUCUACUUCCCGUAAGUUUCAAUGAACCCUAACCUUCUUAUUCCAGCUUCUGACUAUUUGAUAUUAUAUUUGUUUGUUAACAGUUGAUGAGGGUUUCUAUUUGAAAAUGAGUUGCUGGGGCCUGGGUAUUAUGUUUAUGUGAUUUGUGGGAUUGAAUGUAGCUAGGAAUUGAUUUGGGCAUGUAUUGGGCAGUGGCCAGCGAGUUGCUAUUUGACAACAUUUAGGGCAGAAUAUGAUUUCAUUAUUGAUUUGAAAUGAUUAGAAUCUAUAGUAAGCUUCAGUCACCAAACUUGUAAUCUAUUUGCUUGCCUUUAAAUUAUUCACCCAAUUAUAAUUUUCUCUAAACUAUGCACAAAUGGGAACAUAUAUGUACAUGGUAAAAACAAUUCAAUCACUCUGAUUAAAGAUCCUAUUUUACUUUGAGAUGUGUGUACAUGGUGACCCUAUUUACGGCAUAGAUGCUGAAAAAUCCAGUCCACUUCCUCUUGCAAACAGUUUUGCAUCAAGAAACAGAUUGAUAGGCCUAAAAUGUAUCAAGGUUAGGACUGGAGAGAAAAAUUUCAGACUUCUAAAUUCGCUAUGUGCCAAUCGACAAAUCAACCUUGAAUUGCCUUGAACAGUAGCAGGAUGGUGGGCAAAAGCCACCAUCUCUCAUCCUCCUUGCCAUUACAAAAAAAUUGAACUCUCAAU